rnacentral:rRNA from 1 species
AUUGAACGCUGGCGGCAGGCUUAACACAUGCAAGUCGAGCGGGGACUUCGGUCCUAGCGGCGAACGGGUGAGGAAUGCUUGGGAAUCAGCCUGGUAGUGGGGGAUAACGUUUCGAAAGGAACGCUAAUACCGCAUACGUCCUACGGGAGAAAGGGGGGGAUCUUCGGACCUCUCGCUAUCAGAUGAGCCCAAGUCGGAUUAGCUAGUUGGUGAGGUAAAGGCUCACCAAGCGGACGAUCCGUAGCUGGUCUGAGAGGAUGAUCAGCCACACUGGAACUGAGACACGGUCCAGACUCCUACGGGAGGCAGCAGUGGGGAAUAUUGGACAAUGGGCGAAAGCCUGAUCCAGCCAUGCCGCGUGUGUGAAGAAGGCCUUCGGGUUGUAAAGCACUUUAAGCGAGGAGGAAUGGCUCUGGGUUAAUACCCUUGAGCAGUGACGUUACUCGCAGAAUAAGCACCGGCUAACUCUGUGCCAGCCGCCGCAGUAAAAC